GACGAACGCUGGCGGCGUGCCUAAUACAUGCAAGUCGAGCGGACUGAAUGGGAGCUUGCUCUUGUUCGGUCAGCGGCGGACGGGUGAGUAACACGUGGGCAACCUGCCCGCAAGACCGGGAUAACUCCGGGAAACCGGAGCUAAUACCGGAUAACACCGAAGACCGCAUGGUCUUUGGUUGAAAGGCGGCGCAAGCUGCCACUUGCGGAUGGGCCCGCGGCGCAUUAGCUAGUUGGUGAGGUAACGGCUCACCAAGGCGAAGAUGCGUAGCCGGCCUGAGAGGGGGACAGGCCAAACUGGGAAGGAGACACGGCCCAGACUCCUACGGGAGGCAGCAGUAGGGAAGCUUACGCAAUGGGCGAAAGCCUGACGGAGCGACGCCGCGUGAGCGAAGAAGGCCUUCGGGUCGUAAAGCUCUGUUGUGAGGGACGAAGGAGCGCCGUUUGAAGAAGGCGGCGCGGUGACGGUACCUCACGAGGAAGCCCCGGCUAACUACGUG
rnacentral:rRNA from 1 species